CCGGCUUCUUCGUCAGGUGUUUCUCAUGAGGGUGCGUGGAACGAGGGAUCACUAUUUCAAUUUUAAGGUUAAAUUGUUGCUGUGGUUGAAGGAGCCUUAUUUUGGUGUUGAUGCUGGAGAAGGCCCUCUUUGCACAGACUAAGUUUGUUCUUGCCAAGUCCCUUGAUAUAUGGGCUACCACCUAUUCUUCUCUUAUACAAGGGGAGAUCGACCUUCAGUAGUCACAGAAGAGAGGUGUGAUGAAGUGUGGGAGUUUGGUGUUUGCUCUUUUCGGUGCUACAGGGCUGCCUUGAUUCCCUAGUAAGACAUGUUCCAGCCACCUACAGCAAACCUUGAUGAGCCAUUUCUGAUCCUGCUUUCCUAGUUUGAGUGUAUUUUUGGUAUGUAGAUAAUGUGCCGAUCUCUGGAGAGAUUCAUAUGUUUCAAUGAUGGAGAAGUACUUCUACCGGAUCUGAGAAAAUAAAGAAGCAAAGCUCCAUGGCUGUUAUGACAGCUUCAUCAAUACGUGUUAGGUGGUAGACCACUGGAUCUGGCACAUGUUGAUAGGCUUUUGCGAAUCUGCAUGGUGGGACAAUUGGGGACCCGUUAGUAGCAGAAGCUGAAAGAAAUCUUGCCAUAAACGUUAUUUCAGGCUUGUCAGAGUCAUAUGAAGUUGAAAGAAGAGGAAAACUUCAGUUUGAUAUAGGCGGAGUUAGUUGUUCUUACCGGUCUGUCUCUGGUCAAUCAAGCAGCAGUCACUCGGAGAGCUCAUCAAAUGCGCUGAAACUGAUUGAUUUUAGAGGUCAACAAAACGAUCUACAUUGUGUAGAUCAAUGAUGCAGAAGGUGACUCAGAUCAAAAUGGCAGAGAGGCUGACAACCAAAGUUCACUGGAAGAGAUAACUCAUUCUAGACGCUGUAAUAACAAGUUUUGAAGAAAGGACUGCACGUGUAGAAAGAUUGAUGAUUUUUCUCUAAGAAGAAAUGAUGGCCACCAAAGGGUGGAUGCUACUACUGGGUGUUCAUCCUCUUCAAUUCAUGGAGACGAGAUCAGGCAUGGCUGCCAUUUAUGCGAAACUAACGAGAUACCUCAUGAACAGUCUCUGCAAAGUUCUGAAGAAAUUGCCACCGUGAGACUGACUGAUAAAGAGGCUAGGCCAACAUACUUCUAGGAGAAUCUGGCUGAAAGCAUUAAUCUAACGGUUCCUCUAGUGGAACAAACAGAGGAGGAGAUUAUGGGAAACGAAGAAUCCGAUUGGUUUCUACGAGUCAAACAAACUGGGAAUAUGUAAGGAAAGGGAUCUGCUGUGUAUGCUGUGAGAGCAAUAUCGAGUUUUUAUUGUUUAGAUGGGGACAUAUGACCACUUGCGAGAAGUGUGUGAAGAAGCUAGUGGAAGCUGGAGGAAUGUCCCAUGUGUCAAGCUCCUAUCAUUGAGAUAGUUACGUGCCGACUCUAUUCUAUGAACUCCUUUAACUUCAUUACAUGAAGUAAACGCAGUCAGCAGUCUUAAGUUGAUAUGGCAGAUUCUGUCCCAUGGAGACUCCUUGUGGGUUAAAUGGUCAAGGAUGCAAAAGAGACCUGUUCUUGGUGAUCUCAGGGAAGAACAACCUAUUGAAGUUGUUAACCAGAUCGAAAGAGUACUUGAUGGUAGAGUUGUUAAUGCGAACUGCAUCCAAAAUGAAAAUGCUAGAAGAGGUAUACGCAAGUUAUGUGGUAGGCAAGUGUGGGUGGAUAUGUUAAAAAUGGUUGAGAGGGAAAGGCAAACAGAGCUGCAGGGUUUGACGCAGCAUCAUGCUGUAUCAAACUUUGCUCACCGCAACCGUA